rnacentral:rRNA from 1 species
GAUGAACGCUGGCGGCGUGCUUAACACAUGCAAGUCGAACGAGACGAUUUAGAAGCUUGCUUUUAUUGAGUCGAGUGGCAAACGGGUGAGUAACGCGUAGACAACCUGCCGCAAAGAUGGGGACAACAGUCCGAAAGGACUGCUAAUACCGAAUGUUGUAUCUCCUCCGCAUGGAAGAGAUAUUAAAGAUGGGCCUCUACUUGGUAAGCUAUCGCUUUGCGAUGGGUCUGCGUCUGAUUAGCUAGUUGGUGAGGUAACGGCCCACCAAGACCGCGAUCGGUAGCCGGACUGAGAGGUUGAACGGCCACAUUGAGACUGAGACACGGCCCAGACUCCUACGGGAGCAGCAGUGGGGGAUAUUGCGCAAUGGGGGCAACCCGUGACGCAGCAACGCCGCGUGAAGGAUGAAGGUUUUCGGAUUGUAAACUUCUUUUAUUAAGGACGAAUAAUGACGGUACUUAAUGAAUAAGCU